rnacentral:rRNA from 1 species
UACGUAGGGUGCAAGCGUUGUCCGGAAUUACUGGGCGUAAAGAGCUCGUAGGUGGUUUGUCGCGUUGUUCGUGAAAACUCACAGCUUAACUGUGGGCGUGCGGGCGAUACGGGCAGACUGGAGUACUGCAGGGGAGACUGGAAUUCCUGGUGUAGCGGUGGAAUGCGCAGAUAUCAGGAGGAACACCGGUGGCGAAGGCGGGGUCUCUGGGCAGUAACUGACGCUGGAGGAGCGGAAAAGCGUGGGGAGCGAACAGG